GGUAAGAUCGAGAUGUACUCGCCGGCUUUCUAUGCUGCUUGUACCGCUGGUGGAAUUUUUAGCUGUGGUCUUACUCACAUGACCGUCACUCCUCUUGACCUUGUCAAGUGUAAUAUGCAGGUCUAUUGUUAUUCUUCGAUCUGGAUUUUACUGCUUAGAUUUAGUCUUGUGUUUAGUAGCGUUUUCAUUUGUGAUUUCUAGAUCUGCGAUUUCCUUUCAGGUUUUUCCGAUUGGCGCGUUAUAUUGUGGUUUUUGCUUGUGAUUUUGAUAGUGUUGUUUUUGGUUAAGUAGAUCUGUGAUGGUUGCUGUUGGUUGUUUGUUAAAUUGGACGGUCCUUUGGUUUGAUUCGUUCUUUGUUGAAUUUCGAUUCCGAUUUGUUACGUUGAAGCUUUGUAAUGCCGUUUUUGUGUUUUUUUUACACGGCUUUUGAAUUUGUUCUAGCGGUGUUUCACUUUGUUGAGAUUCUCAGUAGGAUUUGUACAUUUACUUCUUAGACGACUUCUUAGUUUGUUAAUCUUUGAAUUGUAGAUUAUGCAGGGAGUGAGUAGUCUUGGUGCAUCUGUUCUAUUGCAAAUUAGUUAUUGCAAAUUAGUUACUAGUGUUGUUGGAGUUAGAAUUGGAAUUGUUUAGUUGGUUGUAGCUUUGUAGUGUUGUAAUGUGUGGAUUGCUUAUUGAUUUCAGAUUGACCCUGCCAAGUACAAGAGUAUCUCAUCAGGAUUUGGAGUUUUGCUCAAGGAGCAGGGAGUUAAGGGCUUUUUCCGUGGCUGGGUGCCUACCUUGCUUGGUU
rnacentral:lncRNA from 1 species